GGAACGUGCCCUGGAGUGGGGGAUAGCUCGGCGAAAGCCGGAUUAAUACCGCAUACGAUCUAAGGAUGAAAGUGGGGGACCGCAAGGCCUCACGCUCCUGGAGCGGCCGAUAUCUGAUUAGCUAGUUGGUGGGGUAAAAGCCUACCAAGGCGACGAUCAGUAGCUGGUCUGAGAGGACGACCAGCCACACUGGGACUGAGACACGGCCCAGACUCCUACGGGAGGCAGCAGUGGGGAAUUUUGGACAAUGGGGGAAACCCUGAUCCAGCAAUGCCGCGUGAGUGAAGAAGGCCUUCGGGUUGUAAAGCUCUUUUGUCAGGGAAGAAACGGUUCUGGAUAAUACCCGGAACUAAUGACGGUACCUGAAGAAUAAGCACCGGCUAACUACGUGCCAGCAGCCGCGGUAAUACGUAGGGUGCAAGCGUUAAUCGGAAUUACUGGGCGUAAAGCGUGCGCAGGCGGUUGUGCAAGACAGAUGUGAAAUCCCCGGGCUUAACCUGGGAACUGCAUUUGUGACUGCACGGCUAGAGUGUGUCAGAGGGGGGUAGAAUUCCACGUGUAGCAGUGAAAUGCGUAGAUAUGUGGAGGAAUACCGAUGGCGAAGGCAGCCCCCUGGGAUAACACUGACGCUCAUGC
rnacentral:rRNA from 1 species